rnacentral:rRNA from 1 species
UAAAACUACGUUCGAUCAUCCUAAUAAUUUCCUGACGUUCAUCCAUCUUCCCCACCGUCGGGGGCAUUCGUAUUUCAUAGUCAGAGGUGUAAUUAUUGGAUUUAUGAAAUACGAACAACUGAAAAAGCAUUUUCCAAGGAUGUUUUCAUUAAUCAAGAAUGACAGUUGGGGGCUCGAAGGUGAUCAGAUACCGUCCUAGUCUCAAUCAUAAAUUAUGCCGAUCAGGGAUCGUCGUAUGUUUCUUUUAGGACUCCGCCAGCACCUUAUGAGAAAUCAAAGUUUUUGAGUUCUGGGGGGAGUAUGGUCGCAAGGCUAAAACUUAAAGAAAUUGACGGAAGGGCACCACCAGGAGUGGAGCCUGCGGCUUAAUUUGGCUCCACACGGGGAAACUUAAGAAGUCCAAACGUAGUAAGGAUUGACACACUGAGAGCUCUUUCUUGAUUCUAUGGGUGGUGGUUCAUGGCUGUUCUUAGUCGGUGGAGCUAUUUUUCUGGUUAAUAUCGUUAACGGACAUGACCUCAGCCUGCUAACUAGCUAUGUGGAGGUAUCCCUUCGCGGACAGAUUCUUAAAAGGAUUACGACCUUUUAUACCACAGAAGUUUGAGGCAAUAAUAGGUUUGUGAUGCCCUUAGAUGUUCUGGGCCGCAUGCGCGCUACACUGAUGUAUUCAAUGAGUUUAUAGCGUUGGCCGACAGGCCCGAGUAAUCUUUGAAAGUUCAUCGUGAUGAGGAUAGAUCAUUGCAAUUGUUGGUCUUCAACGAGGAAUUCCUAGUAAGAGCAAGUCAUCAGCUCGCGUUAACUACAUCCCUGCCCUUUGUACACACCGCCCGUCGCUCCUAAUGAUUGAAUGAUCUGGUGAAAUGUUCGGAUCGCGUUGAUGUGGGUGGUUCGCUGCCCACAACGUCGUGAGAAGUCCAUUGAAUCUUAUCAGUUAGAUGAAGGAGAAUUCGUAACAAGAUUUCCGUAGGUAAACCUGCGGAAG